AUGAAACUAUUAAAUGAAUUCCAGGCUGGGAAGUUAGACAUAACAAGAUUGAAUUAUGGAAUCAUCACCUUAAUUCCAAAAACUGAUGAUGCCAAACAAAUACAAAAAUUUAGGCCAAUUUGUUUGCUAAAUGUCAGCUUCAAAAUCAUUACUAAGGUGUUGAUGAACAAGCUUAGUGCAGUAAUUAAACUCAUCAUAUUACCAACACAGGCUGCCUUUAUAAAAGGUGGAUAUAUAAUGGAGGGGAUUGUAGUACUGCAUGAAGCCCUUAACACCAUCCAUCAUAAAAAACAGAGUGCUGUGUUGUUCAAAGUGGACUUUGAAAAAGCAUAUGACAAUAUUAAAUGGCCUUUUGUGUAUAGAAUGCUGAAAAUGAAACAAUUCCCAGAGAAAUGGUGUGAUAUGGUUAUGCACACCAUGAUAGGUGGGCGGGUUGGUAUUAAAGUUAAUGACAGAAUUGGCCCAUACUUUAAAACCCACAAAGGAUUAAGACAACAAGAUGCCAUGUCUCCUUUACUGUUUGACAUAGCUGCUGAUGACCUGGCAAUUAUCCUAGAUAAAGCAAAAUAG
rnacentral:rRNA from 1 species